GGGGGCCGAAUACUUUCGCAAGGCACUGUAUAUAUAUAUGCUAUCUAGCUAGCUAGAAUCCAUGGAUCCAUUUUAGCUAGAUAUCUUGCUAUUCGUGAGAUCGCCAGCUCACUAAUAAGCUAAAUGUGACAGAUCUAAUGUGACUCAAGUCAGCCUGGCUAUAACUAACUUUAGCGAGAUACUUUAUCCUAAAAAAAAUAAAACGAUUUAGAAACGAUCUGUGCAGUUUGUCUAGCUAGUGAUUUUCUAUAGCUAGUAUCUUGGUUAGCCUACCCACAUUGAAUGUUGUUGAUUGAGGCUAGCAAGCUAGUGUGUCAAAUUCACAUUAAAUAGCUUUCAAACACAAUUAUAGAUGGCUAGGUAAACACCAUUACUAUCCUGCAAUCUAGCUCACAAUUGAGCAAGAUAGCAGGUAAAAAAUAAGGCAGAGUGUAAUUUACAUUAAUCAUUGUGUCUACAUUUCUUGAGCAAACUUAUUUUUAGAAGAUUAGGAUGAAAAGGUGGUCUCGGUACGUGCUUCCCAAACUUGGGGUCAGGGUCCCCUGAGAAGAUCUAUACAAGCAAAUUAUUAUAUUUUCUUCUAUUCAAAUGGGUGUAGAAUUAAACCUUUUUGUGUCAAGUAAGGACUGUUUACACUGUCGUUUGCUGUUUACAGUUGGCUAAAACCUAGCCUACUAUUAAAUACAUUAUUUUUCCACAGGCUCCCAUUUCAUGACAUGCUCAGGCUGCAGCAGUGGGUAGCAGAUUUCAGGUGGAUGAAUUGCAAACAAAGCCAACACUCUUGUCUCUGUGCCCAUCACUUUGAACAUAAGUGUUUUCAGCAUGAUGACAAUGGAAAGGUCCGCCUCAUCCCGACUGCUGUGCCAACCAUUUUCUCCUUCCCUGAUCGUCUUCAAAAGGGGUCACAAUGCUCAAUUGAAAGACAAAGGAAUAUGGUUGGUACAGAGGUAAGUGUGAACGUUGAUCAUGUGAAAGCAUCUGCUGUACUGUGUAAGUAACGUCGUUGAGGAUGCAGAUGCUGCUCAGAGCAAUAUCACUGUGAUGCUGGAUCUGCAUGAUGACACAAGUUGUGUGUCAGAUGUAGGCCUACGUUACAAUGAUAUAACUGUGAUAGUCGAUGUAAGUGAGGAAAGUGUGGCGUCAGAUGUCCAUGAUACUGUGGUUAGUGAUCAUGUUUAUGCUUGGACACCCCUUGUUCCUGAAAACAACUACUGUAGGCUACUGACGUCACCAGGCAACGUUCCCACACCUCAGCUGAGCAAUGAGGAUCAAAAUCCAAUACCGACAAACCCACGCUCUAUCCCAGUUUGCCUGCAUUUUUUUGUCUUCAUUGGCCUGGCCGCUGCUGAUUCCUUGCCUCUACCAGAGAGCUACCUGCCUAACUAUAGUGGAGCUGCAGGCUGCAUCACUAGGCGACGUUCCCACACUUCAGAUGAGCAGAGGAUCCAAUACGACAAACCAUGCAGCAGAUCCUCAAUGUUCAUCUUGUCAGGUUUUACCAGCGAGUUUUCCCAUCUCCCUGCUUUAUCAAGUUCUGGUUCUGACUGUUCUGCCUGCCCUGACCCCGAGCCUGCCUGCUGUUCUGUACCUGCCUGACUGUGACCCAUUUACGAACCUCUGCCUACCCUGACCCUCCCUACUGUUCAGUACCUUAUACACCCUGCCCUGGAUUACGGACCUCUGCCUGCCUUUGACCUGUCUUUUGCAUUCCCCCUGUUUGGGUCAAUAAACAUCUCUAGCUGUCUGCAUCUGGGUCUUAUCCUGAGGUAAUGGCAGACUUGGACCAGCUCCACAAUGCUGUCUCCCUUCAAGGAGCCACCAUUGGAAGACACGAGGAGUUACUGCAAUGCCUUUAUGGAAGGACUCCAUACCCUGGCAGAACGCCAUGAUCAGGCAUUCGAUACAAUUCUGCGGAUUUUCUACUGGGCAGUGGGUCACACCAGUAAUUUCCCAGCCUACCCCAGUGUCCCGAGAACCCGAAAGGAGGCAAGUCGGCAGCACUCGGUGACGUCGGGUUCAUGCGGACAUGUAGACUUUGGGGGUUUCCAGGAUUCUUCAGAGGCGAGGUGGGAAUCGAGGGUGAAUGAAAAUGACAGGGCACAGAUUCCUUCUCCAUCCUACGUUCUCGAAGCCACCCAUCGAUCCAGACAGUCAAAGUCCAUGGGCAGCUCCCAGGCUCAUCUUUGAUCACCUCUGAUAAUCCAUGAAGGAACAUGUUGAACAAUGCUUCCACGUUCCAGGCACUCUCAGCCGCCAACAUGGUAAAAUCCACCGCGUAGUCUGCCACACUACGGGAGUCUUGACGUAGCUGGAGCAGCCUCUCUCCUGGACAACAAAGAAUCAAACACCUCCUGAACUUCUGCCACGAACCUCUCUAGACUGAGCCAGACAGCAGACUACUCCCACACCGCCGUAGCCCAGGCUCCCUCCCUCUCGGACAUCCUCGUUAUGAUGUACGCCAUCCUCGAGCGGUCCGAGGGGAAUGAAGAAGGCUGCAGCUCAAAAAUGAGGGAGCACUGGGAGAGAAAAGCCCGUCAGGUUCCAGAAUCAAGAAGGGGCGAGUACCCUGGUGGGCCAUACGGUGAACUUUUCCUCUUCCCUUACUCGCACCCCUUUCCAUGCCAUCCUGCUGUGGGGGAACCAGACGAAAUCCCUCUGGGUACUCAUUGACUCUGGGGCCAAUGAGAGUUUUUUGGGGGGAUGCUACCCUGGUGUUUGAGCUGGGCAACCCCACUCAGCCCCUCUCCAUUCCCGUGGACGUUAGAGCGGUGGUCGGGCGCUCUAUAGGCCAGGUCACUCACAAUACCACUCCCAUCAACCUACAAGUGUUAGGGAACCACAGCGAGGCAAUCCAAUUUAUGCUGAUUAAGUCUCCUCGGGUUCCCGUGGUAUUGUGUAUCUCUUGGCUCCAGCAACACAAUCCCCUCAGACUGGACUGCUGGUGCCAUUAUGUGCUGGAGCCCAUUCUGCCGUGCCCAUUGUCUGAAGUCAGCACAGCCUGCCCAAGGACGUCCAGCUCACAGCCCAGUCUUCCUACAGGCUGGUACGCAGGGUGUGGGGUGCUAUGGUCAAUGUCUCCACCUAGUAAUGAAAUACAGAAGUGGAACCAGUAAAAAAAACUAUUGGAAAACUGGGAAAGCAUUUUUUCAACUACAGUAGGUGUAAUUGACAUACAAAUAUUACCAUAUAAUGCAUGUUGAAUAUGUUGAGUAUUGGAAAAUUAACAACAGGGCUAAGCAACACUAGGGAUAACAAAAAAAAACAUAAGCUUAGGCAAAGAGAUCUAACAAGUGGUUUGGACAACAGUUAGUGAGCUAGUAAGCUCCCUCCAUGUGUAAACAAGAAGUACAAAUGGGGGGGGUUGUCACUCGACCAACAAACUGAUGGGGUCCUUCUCAAAAGCAUGCUAUGGUCCUUCUCUAGGUUAAGACCUCAGGGGACUAAAGUAUCUAAGGAAUGGAUCCAGGACAUCUCUCUGGACCUUCAGUGUUUGUCAACAUCGCCACCGCGUUUGUUUUGCUGACUUGUUCAAUUCCAAAAUAAAAUAACUCCCAAAGAGAGUGUCUUUGUAAGCAACUCCCGUGUAUAUUUGGCCUUGUGUUUUAGGUUAUUGUCCUGCUGAAAGUGAAUUUGUAUCCCAGUGUCUGUUGGAAAGCAGACUGAACCAGGUUUUCCUCUAGGACUUUGCCUGUGCUUAGCUCUUGUAGAUGAAAAAUAGAGAGUGAACAAAUGUGAACGAUGAUGUGAUGAAGAUGACACUUGCUGACGCCAGCCUGGCAUGUUGAUUCAAUUUGACAUUGUCCGGAUGGAUGGCUUUAUGUUUGAAUCUCACAGGAGUGAGUCACACCUUCACUGUGGAAAUCUCGGGGAAGAGACGUUCCCAAGGAAGUCCUGAGGUCUGACGCCAGGAGAGGUAUGACGACUGAUCAAUUCUAUUUAUAUAGCCCUUCUUACAUCAGCUGAUAUAUCAAAGUGCUGUACAGAAACCCAGCCUAAAACUCCAAAC